rnacentral:rRNA from 1 species
UACGAAGGGGCUAGCGUUGUUCGGAAUUACUGGCGUAAAGCGCACGUAGGCGGAUUGUUAAGUCGGGGGUGAAAUCCUGAGGCUCAACCUCAGAACUGCCUUCGAUACUGGCAAUCUCGAGUCCGGAAGAGGUGGUGGAACAGCUAGUGUAGAGGUGAAAUUCGUAGAUAUUAGACUAGAACACCAGUGGCGAAGGCGGCCAACUGGUCCGGUACUGACGCUGAGGUGCGAAAGCGUGG